GAUUAAGUUAUUAAGGGCGCACGGUGGAUGCCUUGGCACUAGAAGCCGAUGAAGGACGUUACUAACGACGAUAUGCUUUGGGGAGCUGUAAGUAAGCUUUGAUCCAGAGAUUUCCGAAUGGGGAAACCCAGCAUGAGUUAUGUCAUGUUAUCGAUAUGUGAAUACAUAGCAUAUCAGAAGGCACACCCGGAGAACUGAAACAUCUUAGUACCCGGAGGAAGAGAAAGAAAAUUCGAUUCCCUUAGUAGCGGCGAGCGAAACGGGAAGAGCCCAAACCAACAAGCUUGCUUGUUGGGGUUGUAGGACACUCUAUACGGAGUUACAAAGGACGACAUUAGACGAAUCAUCUGGAAAGAUGAAUCAAAGAAGGUAAUAAUCCUGUAGUCGAAAAUGUUGUCUCUCUUGAGUGGAUCCUGAGUACGACGGAGCACGUGAAAUUCCGUCGGAAUCUGGGAGGACCAUCUCCUAAGGCUAAAUACUCUCUAGUGACCGAUAGUGAACCAGUACCGUGAGGGAAAGGUGAAAAGCACCCCGGAAGGGGAGUGAAAUAGAACCUGAAACCGUGUGCUUACAAGUAGUCAGAGCCCGUUAAUGGGUGAUGGCGUGCCUUUGUAGAAUGAACCGGCGAGUUACGAUUUGAUGCAAGGUUAAGCAGUAAAUGUGGAGCCGUAGCGAAAGCGAGUCUGAAUAGGGCGUUUAGUAUUUGGUCGUAGACCCGAAACCAGGUGAUCUACCCUUGGUCAGGUUGAAGUUCAGGUAACACUGAAUGGAGGACCGAACCGACUUACGUUGAAAAGUGAGCGGAUGAACUGAGGGUAGCGGAGAAAUUCCAAUCGAACCUGGAGAUAGCUGGUUCUCUCCGAAAUAGCUUUAGGGCUAGCCUCAAGUGAUGAUUAUUGGAGGUAGAGCACUGUUUGGACGAGGGGCCCCUCUCGGGUUACCGAAUUCAGACAAACUCCGAAUGCCAAUUAAUUGAACUUGGGAGUCAGAACAUGGGUGAUAAGGUCCGUGUUCGAAAGGGAAACAGCCCAGACCACCAGCUAAGGUCCCAAAAUAUAUGUUAAGUGGAAAAGGAUGUGGCGUUGCCCAGACAACUAGGAUGUUGGCUUAGAAGCAGCCAUCAUUUAAAGAGUGCGUAAUAGCUCACUAGUCGAGUGACACUGCGCCGAAAAUGUACCGGGGCUAAACAUAUUACCGAAGCUGUGGAUUGUCCUUUGGACAAUGGUAGGAGAGCGUUCUAAGGGCGUUGAAGCAUGAUCGUAAGAACAUGUGGAGCGCUUAGAAGUGAGAAUGCCGGUGUGAGUAGCGAAAGACGGGUGAGAAUCCCGUCCACCGAUUGACUAAGGUUUCCAGAGGAAGGCUCGUCCGCUCUGGGUUAGUCGGGUCCUAAGCUGAGGCCGACAGGCGUAGGCGAUGGAUAACAGGUUGAUAUUCCUGUACCACCUAUAAUCGUUUUAAUCGAUGGGGGGACGCAGUAGGAUAGGCGAAGCGUGCGAUUGGAUUGCACGUCUAAGCAGUAAGGCUGAGUAUUAGGCAAAUCCGGUACUCGUUAAGGCUGAGCUGUGAUGGGGAGAAGACAUUGUGUCUUCGAGUCGUUGAUUUCACACUGCCGAGAAAAGCCUCUAGAUAGAAAAUAGGUGCCCGUACCGCAAACCGACACAGGUAGUCAAGAUGAGAAUUCUAAGGUGAGCGAGCGAACUCUCGUUAAGGAACUCGGCAAAAUGACCCCGUAACUUCGGGAGAAGGGGUGCUCUUUAGGGUUAACGCCCAGAAGAGCCGCAGUGAAUAGGCCCAAGCGACUGUUUAUCAAAAACACAGGUCUCUGCUAAACCGUAAGGUGAUGUAUAGGGGCUGACGCCUGCCCGGUGCUGGAAGGUUAAGAGGAGUGGUUAGCUUCUGCGAAGCUACGAAUCGAAGCCCCAGUAAACGGCGGCCGUAACUAUAACGGUCCUAAGGUAGCGAAAUUCCUUGUCGGGUAAGUUCCGACCCGCACGAAAGGCGUAACGAUUUGGGCACUGUCUCAACGAGAGACUCGGUGAAAUCAUAGUACCUGUGAAGAUGCAGGUUACCCGCGACAGGACGGAAAGACCCCGUGGAGCUUUACUGUAGCCUGAUAUUGAAAUUCGGCACAGCUUGUACAGGAUAGGUAGGAGCCUUUGAAACGUGAGCGCUAGCUUACGUGGAGGCGCUGGUGGGAUACUACCCUAGCUGUGUUGGCUUUCUAACCCGCACCACUUAUCGUGGUGGGAGACAGUGUCAGGCGGGCAGUUUGACUGGGGCGGUCGCCUCCUAAAAGGUAACGGAGGCGCUCAAAGGUUCCCUCAGAAUGGUUGGAAAUCAUUCAUAGAGUGUAAAGGCAUAAGGGAGCUUGACUGCGAGACCUACAAGUCGAGCAGGGUCGAAAGACGGACUUAGUGAUCCGGUGGUUCCGCAUGGAAGGGCCAUCGCUCAACGGAUAAAAGCUACCCCGGGGAUAACAGGCUUAUCUCCCCCAAGAGUUCACAUCGACGGGGAGGUUUGGCACCUCGAUGUCGGCUCAUCGCAUCCUGGGGCUGUAGUCGGUCCCAAGGGUUGGGCUGUUCGCCCAUUAAAGCGGUACGCGAGCUGGGUUCAGAACGUCGUGAGACAGUUCGGUCCCUAUCCGUCGUGGGCGUAGGAAAUUUGAGAGGAGCUGUCCUUAGUACGAGAGGACCGGGAUGGACAUACCUCUGGUGUACCAGUUGUCGUGCCAACGGCAUAGCUGGGUAGCUAUGUGUGGACGGGAUAAGUGCUGAAAGCAUCUAAGCAUGAAGCCCCCCUCAAGAUGAGAUUUCCCAACUUCGGUUAUAAGAUCCCUCAAAGAUGAUGAGGUUAAUAGGUUCGAGGUGGAAGCAUGGUGACAUGUGGAGCUGACGAAUACUAAUCGAUCGAAGACUUAAUCAA
rnacentral:rRNA from 1 species